GGGGUGCUGCUCAGUGGCAUAGUGCUUGCUUCGCAUGUGCAAGGCCCUGGGUUCAAUCCCCAGCACCACA
rnacentral:tRNA from 1 species